rnacentral:rRNA from 1 species
UCCGUAGGUGAACCUGCGGAAGGAUCAUUGUCGAUACCCGAAGGGACAACCGUGAACCCGUCAACGCACCUGAGCGAAGUCCGCGGAGGGCCGCGUUCAGCUGCCCGACCCUUUGCUUCCUCGGGCACCUCUAGCCGCCCCUUCUCCGCGCCGCCGCGGGGUGGGGGCGGCGAACAAGACCCGGGCGCGGUGGGCGCCAAGGAACACUGAUUUCGGAGCGCGGCGCGCGCCAGAAGCGUCACGGCGUGGACGGCGUGCGACGCGAUUCAACAUUAUCGUUAACUUUAACGACUCUCGGCAACGGAUAUCUUGGCUCUCGCAUCGAUGAAGAACGUAGCGAAAUGCGAUACUUGGUGUGAAUUGCAGAAUCCCGUGAACCAUCGAGUCUUUGAACGCAAGUUGCGCCCGAGGCCUUUGGCUGAGGGCACGCCUGCCUGGGCGUCACGCAUCGCGUCGCUCCGCGCACCUCGCUCGGACGCGGACAUUGACCCCCCGUGCCUCGUGGCGCGGAGGGUCGAAGUGUGAGCCGCCGGCCGGAUUGGACGCGGCGAGUGGUGGCUCAACGCUCUCGACGCUGAACGUCGCGCACCAACGUCCGGCCACGGUGGUUAUAGCAAAGAACCCAUGUCGAGCUGGCGCUUGCGAGCGCCCUCGGACCACGACCCCAGGUCAGGCGGGGCUACCCGCUGAGU